rnacentral:rRNA from 1 species
AAUGGGGGAAACCCUGACGCAGCAACGCCGCGUGGAGGAAGAAGGUCUUCGGAUUGUAAACUCCUGUCUUCUGGGACGAAAAAAAUGACGGUACCAGAGGAGGAAGCCACGGCUAACUACGUGCCAGCAGCCGCGGUAAUACGUAGGUGGCAAGCGUUGUCCGGAAUUAUUGGGCGUAAAGGGCGCGUAGGCGGCAGCCUAAGUCAGAUGUGAAACCCCGGGGCUUAACUCCGGACGUGCAUUUGAAACUGGGUAGCUAGAGUGCAGGAGAGGAAAGCGGAAUUCCUAGUGUAGCGGUGAAAUGCGUAGAUAUUAGGAGGAACACCAGUGGCGAAGGCGGCUUUCUGGACUGUAACUGACGCUGAGGCGCGAAAGCGUGGGGAGCAAA